CAACGUGCUGCAGUAAAGAGAAUACAUCCGUAGAUGGCUGGUGAAGUGCGCCCUCUCUGUACUCCUUCAUCUGCAGCAGUGUGGCGUUGUCCGGUACAGCGUCGUCACUGUUCCUUAAGGCAGGCUUACAGGCCGAACACAAAGAGCCGCCUAGUACACCCUUGAUGACGUAUCCGGCCAGAUGGUAUAGCACACAGGACUCCGCUUUUGUGGAAAUGAUUCUGCUCCUACUGCAUGAGACUGCUGCUGUUGAUGGGGAAGUGCUUUUGCCAGAAAUGGCUUAGUUGCAGGUGGUGGCUUUCUUGAGUUGCACUGAUAAGGUUGAUGCUUUCAAUGCAUUGGAAGUUCCAGCAUGUUCCAGUGAAUUCCAAUUCUUCAUGCAUUAUUGAUUUCACACACACACACACACACACACACACACACACACACACACACACACGUCUUGUCAUGUACACAGACAUGCCGUUUUAUUCAUAGUUAUUUUGU